GGGAACUUGAGAAGCAGGUGAACUAGAAGGCACUUCAGGAAGCCCUUGUAGAAAACCGUGAAAAAAUUGCAACAAAAAAAACAAUAAGAUACUCUAAUAUACCAUUACUUGCACAUUAACACUGUCAAUUUUUUGAGAAAGUUCAAAACUGGUAGCUAGUCAUAUGGUACCUGAACAAGCAGAGGUAUUUACUUGGCUGUGACAGAGAGCAGGGAGCUUCAGGGCAAGGGUACUGUUAAUUGGGAAAGAAAUCAAGUUAGUGUCAUUGAGCAUGAGGCAAAGACAACCAGGUUGCUGCAAGUAGAGUUGCUUGAGGUUGUUACAACAAGAUGGCGGUGGUGACCUAACCAUGCCUUGCACAAAUGGCGCACAUGGGGUCAGUGGAAGCAGCCGUGGGGUGCAAUCAGCUAUUGUUGGGUCUGGGUUGAUAGGGGUGUCCUGUGAGAGGCCUUUGGUUGGAAGGGAAAUGAGGAACAGUAAAACAAGGGAUGUAGUGUGAAGACAAAGGAAAGCCAUGCUGUUUUAUUAGCUAAUUGGACAGAGAAAUUCGUGUUAAGAAGUGACUAAUUAAAUAAGAUGAAAAUGCAUUUUGAGCAUGAGCUGUUACAUGCAUGGUGUGUGUUGUUCUUCAGUCUGCAUGCACAUCUUGUUCAGUUCACUCUCUCACAGUACUUACCUAGCUAUCGAGCUCAGGAUAAUUGUGUGUGUGUGUAUAUAUAUAU
rnacentral:misc_RNA from 1 species